GAUGAAGAACGCAGCGAAAUGCGAUACGUAGUGUGAAUUGCAGAAUUCCGCGAAUCAUCGAGUCUUUGAACGCAAGUUGCGCCCGAGGCUUGUCCGAGGGCAUUUCCGCUAGAGCGUCACCGCGCCCCCCACCGAUCCGCUCCCGCCGCGAGGCGCCAGUCGGUCCGAGUGGAAGUGGCCGUCCCGGUCGCGAUCUUCGCGAGUGAGGGUCGGCUGAAAUGGAUGGAACCGGGCCGCCGUGGUGACACAGUCCGCGAUCGGGUGAUUUUCCGCGAGCCUCCCCCGGGAGGGUCGCCGUGAAUUUUUCUAAGUGCGUGGCUGCGUCCCCCAGUUGGUUUCGGUUCCCUCGUGCAGGUCGUGCGCGCCCCCGCGGCGCGCGUCACGCAUCAGACCUCUAAUCGGAAAAGACUACCCGCUGAGUUUAAGCAUAUCAAUAAGC
rnacentral:rRNA from 1 species